rnacentral:rRNA from 1 species
GGUUAAGCGACUAAGCGUACACGGUGGAUGCCCUGGCAGUCAGAGGCGAUGAAGGACGUGCUAAUCUGCGAUAAGCGCCGGUAAGGUGAUAUGAACCGUUAUAACCGGCGAUUUCCGAAUGGGGAAACCCAGUGUGAUUCGUCACACUAUCAUUAACUGAAUCCAUAGGUUAAUGAGGCGAACCGGGGGAACUGAAACAUCUAAGUACCCCGAGGAAAAGAAAUCAACCGAGAUUCCCCCAGUAGCGGCGAGCGAACGGGGAGGAGCCCAGAGCCUGAAUCAGCAUGUGUGUUAGUGGAAGCGUCUGGAAAGGCGCGCGAUACAGGGUGACAGCCCCGUACACAAAAGCGCAUGUGCUGUGAGCUCGAUGAGUAGGGCGGGACACGUGGUAUCCUGUCUGAAUAUGGGGGGACC